UUGAAGGUCACUACAGGAGCUCCUUGCUAGUAAACCCGAUGGUGAAGCAGCAAUUGGGUGGUUAUGCCCCGAGCAGACCUCCGUAACCAAAUGCUUGAAUAACCCUCGUGAUGUGAUAGAUUACCUUGAGCGGGCUAUUAGAGAAUCAAUGCGUGCGGGAAACAAGUUCUUAUUAGCCCCUUGUUUUGAGGAUCUACAUUGGAGCCUUAUGGUGAUUUGUGUUUCCAAUAACACAAUCUACUACUUUGACUCGGCUCGUAUAUGGCCACCAAGGAAGUUGCUAGUGAAUAACCUAUUGAAUAGUGUUAUGAAGAAGUUGAAUUGUCGUUCGGUUGCGGGUCCCACGUGGAAAUAUGCGAAGGUAAAGCCUCGAUAUAUUGAUUUUUUUUAAAAAUUGCCUUGAGUUUUGGCUAUGCAUGACUAUUUUAACAUUGUGUCAGUUUAGUGUGCGCAACAAGACAACAACGUUGACUGUGCCCUCUACGUGAUGAGGUUUAUGAAUGACAUAGUCAAUAGGUGCACUGAAGCCCAACACAUUGAGGAGGUACUUGUUUUUACUUUUUCCGGUUUGAUUUCGGGUAAAAGCCGUCCUAAAAC